AGACACUGAAAGUGGAAAUAAGGAUUAAAAUGUAUUAUAGGAAGACGCCGAAUCACCCCGCUGCUGACAGGCAGGUCUGCCCAUGCCCUACCGAGGUCCCCAGUCGCACGGAACACACCGAAUCACCCUGCUGCAGACAGGCAGCCACCUGGUUCCACACUACAAAGACACAGAGGACACCAGACAACCAGACCAAGGCACUAACAGCUCCCCGCCCCAGUCGAAAUGAGAAAACACGUAAACAAGUCUCAAAACCAGACUUCCAGAUCACCUACAGCAACUUCAAAGGGAAAUGAGAUGGAACACUCUGAUACUCAACCACCUGGACACACUGAACUGGCAACAAAAGGGGAUCUGGAAAAAAUGAAAUCAGAAAUAAUGUCUCAGAUAACAGAAAUUGUGCCCCUAGUGCAAGACAUGAUUAAUAAAUCUAGAGAGGAG
ensembl:lncRNA